AUUGAACGCUGGCGGCAGGCCUAACACAUGCAAGUCGAACGGUAACAGGAAACAGCUUGCUGUUUUGCUGACGAGUGGCGGACGGGUGAGUAAUGUCUGGGAAACUGCCUGAUGGAGGGGGAUAACUACUGGAAACGGUAGCUAAUACCGCAUAACGUCGCAAGACCAAAGAGGGGGACCUUCGGGCCUCUUGCCAUCGGAUGUGCCCAGAUGGGAUUAGCUAGUAGGUGGGGUAACGGCUCACCUAGGCGACGAUCCCUAGCUGGUCUGAGAGGAUGACCAGCCACACUGGAACUGAGACACGGUCCAGACUCCUACGGGAGGCAGCAGUGGGGAAUAUUGCACAAUGGGCGCAAGCCUGAUGCAGCCAUGCCGCGUGUAUGAAGAAGGCCUUCGGGUUGUAAAGUACUUUCAGCGGGGAGGAAGGGAGUAAAGUUAAUACCUUUACUCAUUGACGUUACCCGCAGAAGAAGCACCGGCUAACUCCGUG
rnacentral:rRNA from 1 species